GAUGAAGAACGUAGCGAAAUGCGAUAAGUAGUGUGAAUUGCAGAAUUCAGUGAAUCAUCGAAUCUUUGAACGCACAUUGCGCCCCUUGGUAUUCCGAGGGGCAUGCCUGUUCGAGCGUCAUUAUAACCCCUCAAGCUCAGCUUGGUGUUGGGGCCUGCCGCACGGGCAGCCCUUAAAAUCAGUGGCGGUGCCAUCUGGCUCUAAGCGUAGUAAUUCUUCUCGCUAUAGAGUCCCGGUGGAUGCUUGCCAUUAACCCCCAAUUUUCUAUGGUUGACCUCGGAUCAGGUAGGGAUACCCGCUGAACUUAAGCAUAUCAAUAAGCGGAGGA
rnacentral:misc_RNA from 1 species